UGCGGGGUAGAGCAGUUGGUAGCUCGUCGGGCUCAUAACCCGGAGGUCGCAGGUUCGAGUCCUGUCUCCGCUA
rnacentral:tRNA from 1 species